rnacentral:rRNA from 1 species
UACAGAGGGGGCAAGCGUUGUUCGGAAUUACUGGGCGUAAAGGGCGCGUAGGCGGCCUGCUAAGUCGAACGUGAAAUCCCCGGGCUCAACCCGGGAACUGCGUCCGAUACUGGCAGGCUUGAAUUCGGGAGAGGGAUGCGGAAUUCCAGGUGUAGCGGUGAAAUGCGUAGAGAUGUGGAGGAACACCGAUGGCGAAGGCAGCCCCCUGGGCCAACACUGACGCUCAGGCACGAAA